CAGUGUUUUGGCUUGGGGCUCAUCCCGACUUACCAACCCCAUGCAAACACCGAAUACCAAUGAGUACUAUCCGGGAGACACACGGUGGUUGCUAACGUCCAUCGUUGAGAGGGAAACAACCCAGACCGCCAGCUAAGGUCCAAAAGUGUAUGGUAAGUGCGCAUGGAAGUGGGAAGGCUAAAACAGCUCGGAGGAUGGCUUAGAAGCAGCGACCCGUUAAAGAAAGCGAAAUAGCUCACUAGUCGCGGCGGCCGGCGCGGAAUGAUGUAACGGGGCUAUAGAUACCACCGAAGCUGGUGCUGCAACUUUAUGUUGCGGGGUAGGGGAGCGUGGUGUAAGUGGCUGUAGGUGUGCCGGGAGGCAUGCUGGACAUAUCACAAGUGCGAAUGCUGACAUGAGUAACGAUAAUGCGGGGGAA
rnacentral:rRNA from 1 species